UGGGCAGACCCUUUUGCCCUUAGAUUUCUUCUUUUCCCCCUAUUGUGGGCUGGGUUGGGUUCCCCUCUCUCUCUCUCCCUUCAAUUUUUACAGAAAUCAAUUACUCAACUAAUUAUUGUUUGUUAUUAAACAAUCUGCAAUUUGCCUAUAUAGAUAAAAAUUAAAAAAUAAAAAUGAAAAAUAAAAAAUUAUUUUCCAUAAAUGAACAUGUUCCCAGCUUUCCAUUUUUAAUUUUUAUGGGAAUAGCCUUCACAUGUUAAAGAAAAGGGGCUUAUAGCCCAUGUACAUUGCUUAAAGUCUGUUCAUACAAGCCGCCGACCAAAUACAUCAACCUAACACUAUUUUGCAACUAAGCCCAUUAACCCCAAGGCUCGAGGCCUCUUCAGCUAGCAAAACUAAGAGGAACCUGAUUCUUGUAACCCAAACAGGACCCGACGAAGCAAUUCUCCAGGACCCUACGAAGCAAUUCUCUCUGCCACAGUUCAAUCGCACAACAUAGCUCCAAGCACAACAUUGGCAUGCAUGGCAAGAAGAUCGAUCGUCAAACCACCAAUGCGUUGCAAAAUAGAGAAGGAACACAUACAAUAGUAAAAAGGCCAUUAACCCAAAGCAAACCCGAGGGUGGUUCAAAGGGGAGCAGCCCAUCGCAUCGACUAAGGACAGAGACAACAAUGAUAAAACACGUCGAUGUCUCAGUCGCGCCCUACCCACUGCCCAACAACAUAGAUAACGAAGCCACCAACCUUACACCUUUGGCCUAAUGUAAGAAACCACACAAUAUAUCUGCACAAGAGAGCAAUUUCCAUCCUCAUAGGUUAGCGCAAACCUCCUUAAAAAGCUGCUCGAUUUGCAAGAACCACGAACAAAAGAAAACCAAAAUCUAUGUACACCCCAACCGAUGGUAGGGAGGAUGAAACACCCACAAGUGGUCAGGGAGGAGAAUACCCCCUACCCGAAAGGGGCAGAGGUGAGCCACAGAGGAGGCUAGCAAACUAGCACCUUUGUGUAGAAAACUAGAGAUCAAACGAGAGGAUUUCCUCUGUCUAAAACUUAGAGAGAAAAGACUAGGUCUUUUUGCGCAGUUUUUGUUACUGAUUUAUCAUAAUGUCAUUUUUCUCAUCUUUGACUCUGAAAUUCUUUGCCACAAAAUUCUUAUUACUCUCAUUCAUUCUUGGUCUUUUUUCUGACAUUCUUUGUUUAUAAGAACAGCGACAAUGUGUUUAGGUAUAAUGCCCGUAAUAGGUACAAAAUAAUUUUAGGGAACCCUUAAAAUAAGAAGAAAGAGUUUUAUGUGGCUGUUCUGAAAGAGGAUAAUUCUUCAAGUUCUUGGGAUUUUGACACUAGUUGAGCAACCACCAGUCACAGGGAUUUUAAACUCCAAAACCUCACCCUUUUGGCCGCUAGAUCACCCAAAGGAAAGACAUUGGGGGAAACCUCAAAGCAAAUGGGAGGCUACCACCGUGAUCAAGGAGAGCUCUACUCUCCCUUCUUAUGUUUUGGCCAUGUAAUAAAGUGAGAACUUAAUUGUAAAGUUUUUAAAGUUAGGGAGUUAAAUAUGAGAUAUUUAACUCUCUAAGAGUACAUAAUUAACUAAUUUGAAAGGUUAAAUUAGUAACUCUAAGAAAUUAAACCCAUAUACAAUGAAUGUUAUGGAAACUAAUCAAACUUAGUUAUUAGUACUCACCGUAAGAGAAAGGAGCUACCACUCUAGCCAUAGCGUUUAGAAAUUUUCUAUACCAUAUUUAAUGUGAAUUAUCAUUAGACAGGUUUUUUAAUCUAAACCUGAUUCAUCGUAAAUUAAAUGAGACCCACUUAUUAAAUACAUAGAACUCAAGUAUUUAUGUCCUAGGUUUAUAGUGAACUGGGUCUAAGUAAGAAUUUCCUAUCAUUAGCCAUCAAAUAUGUUUUUGCAUUCUCUAUCUUUGCUAUAUAUAUAUGUUUUUGCAUAAUUAUUAUAUAAAAUAUAUAUUUUAAACUGCUAUUAUUAACAUUUUAUUCAUUGAAAUUUAUCUUAUAAUAAAAAAAUUAAAUUACUAAAUUCACCGUUUUCGAUACCUGCAUAACCUAUUGAAUUCCUAAUAAUAACAUGAUACAUAUAAUAGUGUAUAUUUGCAUUAGUCGUAUUUUAAUGACUUUGUAUAAUACAUAUCUGAAGGACGUCGAGCCGGCCACAAUCCUACCAGAUUUAUCAAAAGGCCAAAACGUUGUCCAGUGAAAACUAUGGAUUAGUGAAGAGAGUUAAUUUAAAUCCUGUGCAAGGAUGACAAAGUGGUAACACAGGUAUAAGAAUAAGUUAUUGUGGAAGAAGAGAUGCAUGCGAGAAUUUGAUAAUGAAAUGUGCCAUCCUUUUCUCUUUCCUAUGAAAUCUGAGUCUCUGUUUUCAGUUCCUCUCUUCCUUUAAUUCAUUUUUGCCUUUAGUUUACGUUAUUUGGUAUCAGAGCUGUGAUCCUCAGCCAUGGCAGAGGAAACUUGUUUUCAAGAAUGAAGGAAAAGAAUGCAGCAAUGAUGUUUGAACAGAAGCAUCAUCGAGAAGCCCAACUACAAUGUAUUGAUGAUUAGGGUAAAUCAUCAUCUAUUGAUUUUAGAGGCCUUGAUAAGACAUCUGAUG
rnacentral:misc_RNA from 1 species